rnacentral:lncRNA from 1 species
AGAGGUACAGGCAUCUAAAGAAAAGGAAUUCUUAAUGUGAUUGACGGCUUUGGAAAGAAGGUAAGGCAUGGUCCAGCUGGAGCUGCGAAACCUGAGUAUGAUAUAGAAACCUACUUCUUUUUUCUUAUCACUUAGCAUAAGGCUUGAAAGAAGAAUAAGAGUGAAUAGGCAGGGGAGGGGUAGUGAUGAAAGUGAGUGAAGUUUAGCCUAUAGGGGACGAAUGGAUAACUAUAAUAUCUAGAAAGACUGAGCCUUAGCAUGCAGAGAAGAAGGGGUAAGCGAUUUCAUCACAAGAAAGCUCUAUGCUAGGCUUUCCUGGAAUCGCU